CCAGUCUCUCAGCAGUACUUAAACAGGUCAGAAAGUUGCCAGCAGUUCCAAUCUAUUAUUUUUAUCUCAAAGGAAAAAUCAGCAGUAGAGUGGCUUCCCUCCUUCGACUCAGUUUCAGGGAAGGGGUGAGAACACCCUGUGAAGAGGAAGGCAGAGAUUGGAAUGAUGCAGAAGAAGCCAACGAAUCUAGGAGAGAGGCAUGAAUUUCCCCUUCAUAGUCCUUGUAAGGAGCCAACCCUGCUGCACCUUUAUCUCAAAUGUCCAGCUUCCAGAACUGCAAGACAGUAAAUUUCUGCUGUUUAAGACAAAAAAAAAAAAAGUUAAGCUUUAUAUGCACAAAGCAAGACAUUACUUAUAUUAAAUGUUGUAUCUGUGAUCUUUACAACAUUUGUCAAAUAGUCUAUUAGCCAAUCAGUUGGUAGGCAGAAGUAUCUAAAUCACAUAAAAUAAUUGUGCCUAAAUAAUUCUGGUAACUUAUGUAUAAUCCGUUGAACAUCUUGACAAUCACUAAUUUAACUAAUGCAAGUUUGUCAAAUAGGGGAACUGGGGAUCCUGAUACUAAUAUAAUUUUAGAAGAUGAACAACAGUAAAGCAUUUAUGGACUGAGAGCUUAAUGUGUUUAUUUCUUUUAAAAUUUUACAAACUGCUGGGUGUGUUGGCUUAUGCCUCUAAUCUCAGCACUUUGGGAGACUGAGGCAGGUGAAUUGCUUGAGCCCAGGAGUUCACGACCAGCUUGGGCAACGUA
rnacentral:lncRNA from 1 species